rnacentral:rRNA from 2 species
UUAUUGGAGAGUUUGAUCCUGGCUCAGGACGAACGCUGGCGGCGUGCCUAAUACAUGCAAGUCGAGCGAGUCUCUUCGGAGGCUAGCGGCGGACGGGUGAGUAACACGUAGGCAACCUGCCUCUCAGACUGGGAUAACAUAGGGAAACUUAUGCUA